UACGGAGGGGGCUAGCGUUGUUCGGAAUUACUGGGCGUAAAGCGCACGUAGGCGGCUUUGUAAGUUAGAGGUGAAAGCCUGAAGCUCAACUUCAGAAUUGCCUUUAAGACUGCAUCGCUUGAAUCCAGGAGAGGUGAGUGGAAUUCCGAGUGUAGAGGCGAAAUUCGUAGAUAUUCGGAAGAACACCAGUGGCGAAGGCGGCUCACUGGACUGGUAUUGACGCUGAGGUGCGAAAGCGUGGGGAGCAAACAGG
rnacentral:rRNA from 1 species